rnacentral:misc_RNA from 1 species
GAGUUCAUGCCCUUCGGGGUAGACCUCCCACCCUUUGUAUACCUUGCCUUUGUUGCUUUGGCGGGCCGCCUUUUGGCCACCGGCCCCGGCUGGUGCGCGCCCGCCAGAGAACCCCAAACCCUGUCUUACAGUGUCGUCCGAGUUAAAACAAAAAACAAGUUAAAACUUUCAACAACGGAUCUCUUGGUUCU